CUUCAAGCUUGUCAUAUAUGUAGUUUGGUAUUCAUAUAUAAUAUCAUAAUUAGUUAUAUAUAAGAAUUAGUUAUGUGUGUUAUUAUAUUGUAAUUGAAAAAUGAAGGAUAACCCUCACAGUCGCAAUCACUUUGUUAAAGCUUUCUUAUUUAUUCAUUUCUUGGGCAGCGCAAAGAAAAGUUGAAGAAAACUUGAUUUGAGAUAUGGUAGGGCACUUAUUGGACAUGUGAUUGAAAUAUGGAAUAUUAUUUAUAUUUAUUAUCACUCUAGCUACAACAUAUAUAAUAUAUAGAUAGUUGGUGGUGACUCUUCUACAUGCACAUAAAUAUUAUAAAGAUUGUAAGUAUAAAUAUAUGUAUAUAUAUUUAUAUUAGUUUUUUGUCAAAAUGUAAUCCAUCUUUGCAUUUUGAAAAUAGCAUAAACUAAGUUAUGAUGUAGUUUUUUAUGUAUUUUAGGUGGACAAGCUAAGCAUUUGACUCAACCCAAGGCUGAGAAGAAAGAGUAAGAUGAGCAUUUGGUUUUUCUCUUCUUUGCAUUAUUAUUUAAUUAUUUAAUUCAGAUUUGACUCACUUUCAUUAUAUUAUAACAUUGUAAAUGUGUGUAUGUGCUGAGACAGACUUCAAAGAAACUAUUUUGCAACAGUUUGCAAGAGGCUAAAACUCUACUUGGAUAUUUAAGAGAACCAAGGCAACACGAAAUUCUUCGUCAAGUUGUUGGUUAUUAUUUUCUUUCUUGUUUGUAAGAAUUAUGUAUAGUGAGGAUUUGAUGUAUUAUUUACAUCGAGAAUAAUGAAUUUUUAUUGAGAAUUAUAAUGAAUUUUCAUUGACUUAUUUAGUCUCAUGGGGAUUUGAUGUAUUAUUUACAUUUCAAUUGUAUGAAUAAAUGUUGUAUGUAUAUGAAUUUUUAUUAUGAUAAAUGUAAU